UGAGCGAGUACAGCAUUAUCUGUAUCUGUAUCAGUAUCUGUUGAACCAUAUGAAUUAUCUGUAUCCGUAUCUGUACUCGGAUUGGGCGGGGCCUAACCCGGAAGUGGGCGGGGCUUAACCCGGAAGUAGGAAGUAUUUUACUCGUAAGUUGUCGGGUUGUCUUGAAAUGGGCUGGGCUUUAACCGUUAUGCUCUUUUUUAAGCAUGCAAUUGACCCUUCGCAGGGAGCUUGAUUAACAGGUGCCUUGCUGGCCAGCGUCUCUCCUCUCAUCUAUUUUUGGCGGGUUGUUUAGAUGAGCGUCAAGGGGCGCCCACAAAGCUCUGCUUAUAAUAGCAGUGCGAUGGGUGUUUAGCAGGAGGUCCACGUCGUCCGGAGAGCCCUCCACAUCCACCACCCCACACACUCCCGCCACCUCCUCUGAGAUCGCCUCCUGUCAUAUACCUCUGUCACCAAUUACCAGAGCAUCAAAUUGAACAAGUUCAACAAGUAAGCCUACCUCAAGUGUGCACCUGCGUCCCA